UACAGAGGGUGCAAGCGUUGUUCGGAAUUACUGGGCGUAAAGCGCGUGUAGGCGGCUUGGCAAGUUCUAUGUGAAAGCCCUGGGCUCAACCCAGGAAGUGCGUAGAAUACUGCCGAGCUGGAGUAGCGGAGAGGAUGGCGGAAUACCCGGUGUAGAGGUGAAAUUCGUAGAUAUCGGGUGGAACACCUGUGGCGAAGGCGGCCAUCUGGACGUUCACUGACGCUGAGACGCGAAAGCGUGGGUAGCAAACAGG
rnacentral:rRNA from 1 species